CAGGUGCUUAACAUACUUCUCAUUUUCCUCAGCUUCAGAACCGCACCGGGAAGGAUGGCUACAUUGCAAGGCGGAGGACACUGAGAUUCAGGAGGUGUCUGUUAUCUCCCCGGCUCUACAAGGUGAGGGCAGCAGCUCUGGGCAGGAUGGGAAAGCUUCUCUCGUCGGAAGAUAUCGUCUUGCGUCUGGCCCCACCUGCAUCACAGCCCCUGGAAGCAGCGGGGUGGAAGGCUGGUCAGGUAGGCAAGUGACAGUAUGUGUCACAUUGAGGAUGGGACGGGGUGUCGGCAGCAGCCUUGACGAGGUUCAUCAAUCAAUCAGUAUUGACUGUACAACACCCAGUACAGAAAACCAUGCUGUGAAUAUUCAGGGGGAAAGACAAAAAAAAAAGGAUGG